rnacentral:snRNA from 1 species
AAAAAGGGUGCUUGCCUCCUGGCAUACAGGGUUCUCGGACCCUGUAGAGUAUGGCUAUCAAGACAUACUCAGCACAUAAUUUUGGACUGAGAAGCAGUUAGUUGUCUCGCACACUGGCGCUUCU